rnacentral:sRNA from 1 species
GCCUGGCACAGUAGUGCAUGCCUGUAAUCCCAGCUGCUCAGGAGGCUGAGGCAGGAGGAUCACGAGUGAGGCACAAAGCAACUCAGUGAGACCCUAUCUCUA